UAAACAUCAAAUUGGUGGUUGCUCAGUUAGUACACAGCUUCGAUUGGGAGCUACCUUUGGGGAUUUCACCGGACGAGUUAAAUAUGGAUGAAACAUUCGGUUUGUCAUUGCCAAGGGCAGAGCAUCUCCUGGCCAUACCCAAAUUUAGGAAAAGUUGAAUUCCACAUUCAUGGUGGUAUGUGUGAUUGUCCUGUGUAACUUUAAGCAGAAUGAGUAGCUACCCUCUUGUGAGGAGUUGUUUUGAUAAAUUGUUAUGUGCGGACUGCAGUGUUUUAUCAACUCCCUCCCUUCUUAAUUAUCAAUCGCAUCUGUUUUUAAUUUUAAAAUUUAAAAUAUCAAACUGAUCGAUAUUUGAUUAAAUAUUAAAAUUAUUUAUUUAUUAUAUUAAUAAAUUAAAAAAUAUAUAAAUAGAUUUUUUUUUUUUUUGAGCCAGAGUCGAACCCAGGACCUGGGCCAACAGAGGAUAAGCCCUUAACCACUUGGGCUAUCCAAUCGUGCUCAAAUAUAUAAAUAGAUUAGUUACAUGUUUUAGUGAAAAAAUUUGUUUAACUCUUCGAAUCAUAUAAUACACAUAAAUUUCAUCAAUUUAAAUAAUCAAAAAUCACUUAAAUAUUAUAAAUCUGUAUUUAGGGAGGGCCAGUAAAUAUCUAUAUAUAUUAAUUGGUUCUUUACACUUUGACAUUUCAAUUUCUGGUUCGCUUACAUUCCACUUAUGACAACAUUUUUGUAUUUUUCCACUACUGCAUAUUUUUCUUCCAAAGAAUUAUUGCAGUUCCUAGUUAAAACAAAAUUUAUGACAGGGCAAGAUCAAUCUUAUCCGUGUCAUGUUGACAACGUUAACUGUGGAUUUGUUUUUCAUAUUUUCAACUUUUCGUUCUUCUAGGUGUUAUGUGUCUACAUUUAAAUACCAGAUGAUUUUCAGCUCGAGUGUUUGAUGGGAGAUAUUUUUCUAUCAAUUUAAUUCCUGUAUUGUUGGCUGAUUUGAAUGAUAAAUGGAAUACUUUUUCCGUCAAAAAAAAAUGAAAGAUGAUAAUAGAACGAUCAUAGAUUACAUUUUCAAAGAUACUCCCUCCGUCCCCCUGAGUAGUAUACAUUGGGGGACGGGGAUGCGGCACGGACUUUAAUGCUCCUGUAAAGUGUAGUUGUGUAAUUUAUUUUUAAAAUUUUCUUUUUCUGAAUUAAAGUUUGGAUGCUAUAUUUUUAUUCAGAAAAAGAAAAUCUCAAAAAUAAGUUAUGGAACUAUGUUUUAUAAGAGCAUUGAAAUGCGUGUCGAGCAGUUGAAAAGAAACGUAUACAAUUAAAUGGGACAGAGGGAGUAGACAAACCGUAUAAAGUUGACUUGUUCGGAUAUGAUUAAUGUAAAUUGUUUAAUUAUAAUUUAGUAAAAUGAUUUAACAAUCAUUCAUGCAUGGGAAAUUUAUUUAAAAUAAUCCAAUCAAUAAAAUAGAUUUAAAAAAAUGGAGAUAAGUUAGAUAUAAAUAUAUGUCAUUUUGAUUUUGGAUCUGCAUUCUAAUUUCUUGCAUGAUUUAUGGACAUUAGUUUAUUUUAAUUUCCUAACAAAAAAUAUAAAUGUAAAGUCUGAAUAAUUUUUUUAGAUAUUCAUUUUAUUUUCAUUUUUUUCAUUCAAAAUUCAUUUUUUUUUUGAAAUAAAUCAUAUUAAUAAAAUUCAUUUUUUAUUAAAUCAUAUUAUAUAUAUAGAAAAUUACAUAACAUAUCAUCCUUUCCUUUAUUAAUAUAAUUGAUGAGUAGUUUAUCAGAGUAAUCGAUGAUAAAAUUUCUAUUGAUAAGAAAGUGGUCAAGAUUUAAAGUUGGGGAGCAACUGUGUUGAUGUCAUGCUAGCUCUAUGAAGAAUCAACAUAUAUCAUUUUUUGUAAAAAAUAAAUUAUUAAAUUAUAUUAAUUAAAAAUAUUAAUAAAAUUAUUAUUGUCAUAUAUUUUUGCAUCAUUGAUUGAGUUUUGUAUCAAACAUUAAUAUUUCAUUACUUAAAUAGAGACGGAAAAAAUAAAAAAUAAAUGUAUCUCAUACUUCCAUUUCAUACCCACCUCCCCACUUGGGUAUCAAAAACAACUCAUACCAUGGAGGUUUAAGGCUGGGUUUCAGAUUUUGUUUUUCUUUAGACAAACCUCAUACAUUCCAUAAAUCCAUGAACCAAACGACUCCUAAAUAGAAUGAAUAUGUAUUAGAUUUUUAAUUAAAAUAAUUAGAAUGAAAUAAUGGAAGUAACGAAAAUUUUAAACUAUUUUACUGAUCACUAGCAAUUUAUACCAGUAAAUUUAAGAUUAGCAGAGAGAGAGGCUAUAGCUCAAUAUAUAUAUACGCAUAUUGUGAUAAUGCAUUUGCAGGUGCAGCACCUUUCUUUGACAAGAAACAAGUAGCAACACUUUCACAGCUCUUCAACAUGUCUCCCACAGAUUUUGCAUUGCUUAUAGUAAGCGCCGGAUCCUUGUGGUGGUUCAUCCUGCAGUGCCGAACCAUGGUUCGCCAACACGGCCGCAGACAACCACCCGGGCCAAUAGGUCUACCGGUCAUCGGUCACCUCCACAUGCUAGGAAAACUCCCUCACCGCAGCCUCUACAAGUUGUCACAAAAAUACGGUCCCAUAAUGUCGAUCCGCCUCGGAUCUGUUCCCACAAUUAUAGUGUCGUCGCCUUCGGCUGCCGAGCUCUUUCUCAGGACUCACGACACGGUUUUUGCGAGCCGGCCUAAUGCCCAGGCCGCCGAGUACUUAUCUUAUGGCAGCAAAGGAAUGGCAUUCUCGAAAUAUGGUUCGUACUGGCGCAGCGUGAGAAAGUUUUGCACAAUGGAGCUUCUUAGUGUCGCGAAAAUUGAUUCUAUGGCUAGGCUGAGAAGGGAGGAGCUGGGCUUGCUAGUGGAGUCCCUGAAAGUGGCAGCCAGGGCCGGUGAGGUGGUGGAUUUUAGCGAGAAGGUCGCGCGUCUGAUAGAAGACAUGACUUGUCGGAUGUUGUUUGGGAAGAGCAGAGAUGAUCGGUUUGAUUUGAGUAAGAUCAUACAUGAGCUGGCAGAGAUUGCUGGAGCCUUCAAUGUUGCAGAUUAUGUCCCAUUUUUAGGGGCAUUUGAUCUCCAGGUAUCAAUAACUGUAAAACUAUACUUUUCUAUUUAUCGACGGGGCCGUUUGGGUGAACUUAAAAAAAGUGUUUAUUGCUUAAAGUAAAAAAGUGAAGUAGAAGUUAGAAGCAAGUUAAGACUUAUAAGUGAUAAAAGUGUUUGGGAAAUAAGUAGAAGCCGUGAGACAAAAGCUAGUAUUCGUAGCUUUUUUUAAGUAAUUCUUGACUUUUUACACAAACGGUACAAAUAAGUGCUUCGAACUUAUAAUUCAGAAGCCGGGCUUAUAAGUCCGUGCCAAACACCCACUUAAUUAUCAGGGACCCUGAUCUUUAAAUCUUUAAUGUAAUUGUUGUUAUCAGGGAUUAACUCGACGCUCCAGAGUGACUGCUAAGGCAUUUGAUAAAAUCCUGGAAACGAUCAUCGAUGAUCAUGAAGAAAAAGCUAGAAAUGACGAUACAAAGCUUGAUAGGGAUUUUGUUGAUGUCAUGCUAGCUUUGAAGAACAAUCCUACAAGUACUCACCAGCAAUUAGCGGAGACCAUUGACCGAUCGAUCACCAAAGCAAUUAUCCUGGACAUGAUUUUCGGAGCCAUUGAUACCUCCCAAACUGCGAUUGAAUGGAUCAUGUCAGAACUCAUCCGACAUCCAAGCGUGAUGAAACGACUUCAAGAAGAAAUUAAUAUCAUAGUAAAUUGCGAAGUUGUGGAAGAAUCACAUCUGGAUAAACUUGAGUACCUAGACAUGGUGGUCAAGGAAGCCUUGAGACUCCAUCCGGUGGCACCACUGUUAGUUCCUCAUGAGUCAAUGGAGGACAUUGUGAUAGAUGGAUAUUACAUAGAGAAGAAUUCGCGUCUAAUUAUUAACAAUUGGGGCAUAGGACGAGAUCCUGGGAUUUGGUCGGAAAAUGUUGAAGAAUUCCUUCCUGAGAGAUUUGCGGGUACUGACAUAGAUCUCCGGGGGGAAAGUUUUCAACUUAUACCGUUUGGUUCAGGCCGGAGAGGUUGUCCGGGCAUGCACUUGGGCUUAAUAAACAUCAAAUUGGUGGUUGCUCAGUUGGUACACAGCUUUGAUUGGGAGCUACCUUUCGGCAUUUCACCGGACGAGUUAAAUAUGGAUGAAGCAUUCGGUUUGUCAUUGCCAAGGGCAGAGCAUCUCCUGGCCAUACCCAAAUUUAGGAAAAGUUGAAUGUGGAAUUCCACAUUCAUGGUGGUAUGUGAUUGUCCUGC
rnacentral:lncRNA from 1 species